CCUACGGGAGGCAGCAGUGAGGAAUAUUGGUCAAUGGUCGGGAGACUGAACCAGCCAAGCCGCGUGAGGGAGGAAGGUACAGAGUAUCGUAAACCUCUUUUGUCAGGGAACAAAGGCGGGGACGUGUCCCCGGAUGAGUGUACCUGAAGAAAAAGCAUCGGCUAACUCCGUGCCAGCAGCCGCGGUAAUACGGAGGAUGCGAGCGUUAUCCGGAUUUAUGGGGUUUAAAGGGUGCGCAGGCGGUCUGUUAAGUCCGCGGUCAAAGCCCGGGGCUCAACCCCGGCCCGCCGUUGAAACUGGCAGUCUCGAGUUGGAGAGAGGUAUGCGGAAUGCGCGGUGUAGCGGUGAAAUGCAUAGAUAUCGCGCAGAACUCCGAUUGCGAAGGCAGCAUGCCGGCUCCACACUGACGCUGAGGCACGAAAGCGUGGGUAUCGAACAGGAUUAGAUACCCGAGUAGUC
rnacentral:rRNA from 1 species